GACGAACGCUGGCGGCGUGCCUAACACAUGCAAGUCGAACGGAAUGGGCUGUUUUGCCUUGUGGAUUCCGGGCACUCGAGUGGCGAACGGGUGCGUCAUACGUUAGUGAUCUGCCUCCCAUUUGGGUAGAAGCCUGGGUAACCGGGACUAAUUUGCGUUAGGUCUGUAGGGAGUUGCCAGUGCUGGAGAUCGAUAUUGUAGCGGGCGGGGAUGGGCACGCGGCCAUUCAGCUGGUCGGCGGGGUAAUGGUCUUCCAAGGCGGUGACGGGUAGCCGGCCGGGGGGGGGAGACGGCCACAUUGGGACGGGGAUACGGCCAGAACUCCUACGGAAGGCGGCAGUAGGGAAUAUGGCACAAUGGGCGGAGGCUUGAUGCGGCGACGCCGCGUGAGGAAUGACGGCCUUCGGGUUGUAAACUCCUUUCGACCGGGGGGAAGCCACCUGGUGGGAAGGGUGGUGACGGUAGUGGUAGAAGAAGCACCGGCUAACUACGUG
rnacentral:rRNA from 1 species